rnacentral:rRNA from 1 species
CAUCCCUCUGAAUAUCCUAGAGAUAGGGUAGGCCUUCGGGACAGAGGAGACAGGUGGUGCAUGGUUGUCGUCAGCUCGUGUCGUGAGAUGUUGGGUUAAGUCCCGCAACGAGCGCAACCCUUGAACUUAGUUGCCAGCAUUUGGUUGGGCACUCUAAGUUGACUGCCGGUGACAAACCGGAGGAAGGUGGGGAUGACGUCAAAUCAUCAUGCCCCUUAUGACCUGGGCUACACACGUACUACAAUGGCCGGUACAACGGGAAGCGAAGGAGCGAUCCGGAGCGAAUCCUUAGAAGCCGGUCUCAGUUCGGAUUGCAGGCUGCAACUCGCCUGCAUGAAGUCGGAAUUGCUAGUAAUCGCGGAUCAGCAUGCCGCGGUGAAUACGUUCCCGGGUCUUGUACACACCGCCCGUCACACCAUGGGAGUUGGCAACACCCGAAGUCGGUGAGGUAACCGUAAGGAGCCAGCCGCCUAAGGUGGGGUCGAUGACUGGGGUGAAGUCGUAACAAGGUA